CCUACGGGAGGCAGCAGUAGGGAAUCUUUCCGCAUGGACGAAAGUCUGACGGAGCAACGCCGCGUGAGUGAUGAAGGCUUUCGGGUCGUAAAACUCUGUUUGUUAGGGAAGAAACAAGUACGAGAGUAACUGCUGGUACCUUGACGGGUACCUAACCAGAAAGCCGACGGCUAACUACGUGCCAGCAGCCGCGGUAAUACGUAGGUGGGCAAGCGUUAUCCGGAAUUAUUGGGCGUAAAGCGCGCGCAGGCGGUUUUCUUAAGUCUGAUGUGAAAGCCCCAGGCUCACCGUGGAGGGUUCAUUGGAAACUGGGAAACUUGAGUGCAGAAGAGAAAAAGCGGAUUUCCACGUGUAGCGGUGAAAUGCGUAGAGAUGUGGAGGAACACCAGUGGCGAAGCGGGCUUUUUGGUCUGUAACUGACAGGCGAAAGCGUGGGGAGCAAACAGGAAUUAGAUACCUGGUAGUCCACGCCGUAAACGAUGAGUGCUAAGUGUUAGAGGGUUUCCGCCCUUUAGUGCUGCAGCUAACGCAUUAAGCACUCCGCCUGGGGAGUACGGUCGCAAGACUGAAACUCAAAGGAAUUGACGGGGGCCCCGCACAAGCGGUGGAGCAUGUGGUUUAAUUCCGAAGCAACGCGAAGAACCUUAC
rnacentral:rRNA from 1 species